rnacentral:tRNA from 1 species
AACUGUUUAUUUAUUGGUUAAAUUAUUAGGAUUUAUACCCCUAAUAUCUUAGUUCGAAUCUAAUAACAGUUA